AUUGAACGCUGGCGGCAUGCUUUACACAUGCAAGUCGAACGGCAGCGCGGGCUUCGGCCUGGCGGCGAGUGGCGAACGGGUGAGUAAUGCAUCGGAACGUGCCCAGUAGUGGGGGAUAGCCCGGCGAAAGCCGGAUUAAUACCGCGUACGACCUGAGGGUGAAAGCGGGGGACCGAAAGGCCUCGCGCUAUUGGAGCGGCCGAUGUCGGAUUAGCUAGUUGGUGGGGUAAAGGCUUACCAAGGCGACGAUCCGUAGCUGGUCUGAGAGGACGACCAGCCACACUGGGACUGAGACACGGCCCAGACUCCUACGGGAGGCAGCAGUGGGGAAUUUUGGACAAUGGGGGCAACCCUGAUCCAGCCAUGCCGCGUGCGGGAAGAAGGCCUUCGGGUUGUAAACCGCUUUUGUUCGGGAAGAAAUCCUCUGGGCUAAUACCCCGGGGGGAUGACGGUACCGGAAGAAUAAGCACCGGCUAACUACGUG
rnacentral:rRNA from 1 species